rnacentral:lncRNA from 1 species
AUGGCGCAGUUGUUGCAGAUAGGCCCACCUUGUUCUUUUAAAAGAUGCCCUUACUCCCAUUGUAGCUGUUGCACGAAAGGAAAGAAAAAACAACUUUGAUGGGCGAAAUCUUUCGGGAGUCGUUUGUACGGUGCAAACCAGUGCAACGGUCACGGCCGGACACACACUGCAGGUCUCGGAUGAAGACGGUGGAAACUACUAAACUAAAUAGCCUUGGCCGGUUGCUUUCGUCAAAUAAGAAAUUCAAGGAACGCCUCCAUCUUGCGCUUUUCUCCGCUCCUGACAUCACCGAGUACAGGCUGUGUAUACGCAUAUAUACUGCAUAUAUCCUGUCGGAGAUGGAUUCGUGACAUAUCUGAAUGGAUCGCGAGGCCUCGGCUCAGCACGGUGGUGGGUGUACCGGGCGGCGGAAGAAAAAAGGAGGAUCGUCGUACCCCCGUCUCGUAUAGGGAAAAUUGAAAACAUAAAAAGGAAAGAAAAAAGAAAGAAGAAGAAGAAGAGUAGCAGUUUCAUCAGCUCAGAGUGCACUCUCUCUUUUCCUUUUUUUCCUUCUUUCUUUCUUAGUGACUUUUUCUUUUUUCUUAAUAAAUAAAGAUCUUAUCAUCUAAUCUAUCUAAUAAAGAUCUAUUUCAGAUGAUGAGAGUGGGCUUUGUGCAGCCCUUGACGAUGAACCCCGUUGGACUCAUUGCUUCUCUAUUUCUAUCUCUUUCUUAAAAAUUGUGUCUUGUGCUUUAGCCCGGCUGUAGGGCCCAACGCCGCUGUCUGCGACCCAAAGGCGACACGAGACAAAUGAUUGAGCACGGGUCUAGUGUUAGAAGGCGACGACGACGACUUUGUGCGGUUCCUGAAAUCGUUACGCCGGAGAAAAUUGAGGACUAGGAGCUAUAGGAGCUCUGGCUUGUACAUAAUACCGGGAGAGAGAAAAAAACAGGAGCGCUCGACGUCGGCUAUAUAGUCCCGCGCGCACCGCACCAAUUCCUGUUGAUCAAACACGAAGGAGCCUAGAGUCUGAAGGGAGCGAAAAAAGAAGAAGGAGAGAAAAGCUGGGGGGGGCCGCCGCCCGUUCGGAUAACUAACUGCCGACGUCGGGGCGCCAUCACCAAUCGAUCCUGCCGUAGUCUCUACAGCCCCCAAUCUCUGACAAGACGACGAUCGAGCUGCUAGAGCGGUCGAUGAUUCUGACAAGGUGGACAUGGACCAGGAUCGGUACGAGAGUGUGUGUAGUAUACUUGACCCCCCCCCCCCACCGACACACACGUCAACUUGUUCCCCGUGACAUGGAGUGGCGGGCUCACGGAAAAUAGCGUCGUGGGUGCAUCAUCAUCUGUGUAUCGAUAUCAAAUCAGUCGCGCCAAACGACGACCAGACACACUGACGUCCAUCUGCAGUCGAUCCCUAUGAAUCGUAUUGACUGCUCCCGGUAAAUUGCAUCCCCCCUAAAAAAAGAGGGAUUUUAAUUUCAAACCCAGAAAAUCCUGUCAUCGAUCGAUUUCCAAUCUGUGGUGGACACAAGACAUUCAAAUGUCACGUCGAUUCACUCGAUCCUCCCUCCCGUUCGCCGAUUCAAUUCCGUCGAUCCUUUAAAGGAUUUUUUUUUUCCUUCAGAGUCCAAACUGUACGUGGAAUCUAAUUUGACUGCAUCCGUUUCCCCCCAUAGCGCCG